UGGACAUUGGCUUAAUGGUAGAGCAUCCCCCUUCAUAAGCGUAUAACUUAAUGCAAGUUGUACGUUUAUGAAGGGGAGGAUAGAGGUUCGAAUCCUCUAUGUCCAC
rnacentral:tRNA from 1 species